rnacentral:rRNA from 1 species
UACGUAGGGUCCGAGCGUUGUCCGGAAUUAUUGGGCGUAAAGAGCUCGUAGGCGGUGUGUCGCGUCGGCCGUGAAAACCUGCAGCUUAACUGUGGGCUUGCGGUCGAUACGGGCAUCACUGGAGUUCGGCAGGGGAGACUGGAAUUCCUGGUCGUAGCGGUGAAAUGCGCAGAUAUCAGGAGGAACACCGGUGGCGAAGGCGGGUCUCUGGGCCGAUACUGACGCUGAGGAGCGAAAGCGUGGGGAGCGAACAGG